rnacentral:rRNA from 1 species
UACGAAGGGGGGCUAGCGUUGCUCGGAAUCACUGGGCGUAAAGGGCGCGUAGGCGGCCGGCCAAGUCGGGGGUGAAAGCCUGUGGCUCAACCACAGAAUGGCCCUCGAUACUGGACGGCUCGAGACCGGAAGAGGUUGGUGGAAUUGCGAGUGUAGAGGUGAAAUUCGUAGAUAUUCGCAAGAACACCGGUGGCGAAGGCGGCCAAACUGGUCCCGGAUCUGGACGGCUGAGGCGCGAAAGCGUUGGGGAGCAAACAGG